rnacentral:rRNA from 1 species
UACGAAGGGUGCAAGCGUUACUCGGAAUUACUGGGCGUAAAGCGUGCGUAGGUGGUUUGUUAAGUCUGAUGUGAAAGCCCUGGGCUCAACCUGGGAAUGGCAUUGGAUACUGGCAGUCUAGAGUGCGGUAGAGGGUAGUGGAAUUCCCGGUGUAGCAGUGAAAUGCGUAGAUAUCGGGAGGAACAUCCGUGGCGAAGGCGACUACCUGGACCAGCACUGACACUGAGGCACGAAAGCGUGGGGAGCAAACAGGAUUAGAAACCCCGUAGUCC